GGUUCCCUAACCUAAGCAAUUUUUACUAUUGAAAUCACUCGCUGUCUCAAGAGACUGAACAUUCGACCUGCGAGUGCAUGUCUCACAGGACUUCUUAGUUUGCUCUUCCAAUGACUCACAGAAUUAGAACAAACUUCAACUUAAGCAACGCCAGGGACCUAAUGUUGCAGUAUUUCUGAGGCCAGGCAGACCAACAAAGAAAGAAAAGCGAGUUUUGAAGGUCAACGUAGGAGAGAGGAGGAAGGCACAAGAAGAAAUCAAAGAGGGUCCACCAUGCAAAGUUAGACGCAUAGAAGAUGAUGCCGUCGAAAUAUUGAUACACAAAUUUAGAAAUUUGUGCCUCGAGUAGCGGUGCAUUUUGCAGUUGGGAUUACCCCACACACAAUAUUUUAUGUUCAUUCAAAUAAAAGUAAAUAAAUAAAAAUUUCUGAAGAGUGAAACAAAGUUGGAAUUAAUAAGAAAACUUGGAAAGCAGGAUUUGGGAAGCAACAUAAUAUUUGCUCUUAUAUUAUUGGAAUUGUUGCUGUUGAUUUUUUAUAUUCUUGAGACUUUUUUGUCCACCUGAAUGUUAACAUUUUGCAGGGGGUGGGGGGUCUGCCUAACCCCUACCCUAAUUUUAACCUAACUGGUCAACCAACUAGUUUAGUUUUGAAGUGAUUUUGAGUGCCCUAGUUGCUGCAAGAUAUGCCAUUCUGUACUUAGCAUAUGCACGGGGAAUUCAAACCAUUUGGUGGCGUUCUGGAGGAAACGCGCCUUUCGUAAAAUACAGCUCUAAAUUUCUUUCAAUCGUUUUCAGCC